rnacentral:rRNA from 1 species
AGUAACGGCGAGUGAAGCGGCAACAGCUCAAAUUUGAAAUCUGGCCCCCAGGGCCCGAGUUGUAAUUUGCAGAGGAUGCUUUUGGCGCGGUGCCUUCCGAGUUCCCUGGAACGGGACGCCAUAGAGGGUGAGAGCCCCGUCUGGUCGGACACCAAGCCAGUGUAAAGCUCCUUCGACGAGUCGAGUAGUUUGGGAAUGCUGCUCUAAAUGGGAGGUAUAUGUCUUCUAAAGCUAAAUACCGGCCAGAGACCGAUAGCGCACAAGUAGAGUGAUCGAAAGAUGAAAAGCACUUUGAAAAGAGGGUUAAACAGUACGUGAAAUUGUUGAAAGGGAAGCGUUUAUGACCAGACUUGGGCCCGGUGAAUCAUCCAGCGUUCUCGCUGGUGCACUUUGCCGGGCCCAGGCCAGCAUCAGUUCGCCGCGGGGGAUAAAAGCUUCGGGAACGUGGCUCCCUCGGGAGUGUUAUAGCCCGUUGCAUAAUACCCUGUGGCGGACUGAGGUUCGCGCUCCGCAAGGAUGCUGGCGUAAUGGUCAUCAGCGACCCGUCUUGAAACACGGACCAAGGAGUCGUCUUCGUAUGCGAGUGUUCGGGUGUCAAACCCCUACGCGUAAUGAAAGUGAACGCAGGUGAGAGCUUCGGCGCAUCAUCGACCGAUCCUGAUGUUCUCGGAUGGAUUUGAGUAAGAGCAUACGGGGCCGGACCCGAAAGAAGGUGAACUAUGCCUGUAUAGGGUGAAGCCAGAGGAAACUCUGGUGGAGGCUCGCAGCGGUUCUGACGUGCAAAUCGAUCGUCAAAUAUGGGCAUG